CCUACGGGAGGCAGCAGUGGGGAAUCUUGCGCAAUGGGCGAAAGCCUGACGCAGCAACGCCGCGUGCGGGAUGAAGGCCUUCGGGUUGUAAACCGCUUUCAGCAGGGACGAAGAUGACGGUACCUGCAGAAGAAGCCCCGGCCAACUACGUGCCAGCAGCCGCGGUAACACGUAGGGGGCGAGCGUUGUCCGGAUUUAUUGGGCGUAAAGAGCUCGUAGGCGGUUCCGUCAGUCGGGUGUGAAAACUCUGGGCUCAACCCAGAGACGCCACCCGAUACUGCGGUGACUAGAGUCCGGUAGGGGAGUGCGGAAUUCCUGGUGUAGCGGUGAAAUGCGCAGAUAUCAGGAGGAACACCAACGGCGAAGGCAGCACUCUGGGCCGGUACUGACGCUGAGGAGCGAAAGCGUGGGGAGCGAACAGGAUUAGAUACCCUGGUAGUCCACGCCGUAAACGUUGGGCACUAGGUGUGGGACCUUUCCAACGGGUUCCGUGCCGCAGCUACGACAUAGUGCCCGCCGUCGGGAGGUACGGCCGCGACGGACGUAAACGUACAAAGUAGAAGUUAGACGGCGUGUAGACGUUGCCGAAGGACGACGACGAGGGAGGAGG
rnacentral:rRNA from 1 species